rnacentral:piRNA from 1 species
CUGGACCUGCCAUGUAUUCAGUCUGCAUU